GACCUGAGCCAAAAUCCAGAGUCGGAUGCUCAACUGACUGAGCCACCCAGGCACCCCUGGGGGAAUUUUUUUUUUUAAUGCUUCAGGAAAGUAAUUUAAGGAUUAGUAUAAAGUACAUGGAUUUACAACAUAGAAUGAAAACUGUAGGCAUUUUCUCAUAAAAUUAAGCAUAAUUAUACACAAGUAUAUGUAAACCAUAUUCAGUGAGGUUUUGUUUUUCUCUGUUACAGGUUAAGAUACGUUUUGGAAAUAGGCAGCCCUCAAAUCGCAAUUGCUUGAUAUACCAAAGUUGUCUUUCUGUCUGACAGAGGUUGGCCUUUUCUCUGCACCUUAUUAUCUCCACUGCAGCUCCAGACUGACUGAAUGGUUCUCUCUGGGAAAAUGCUGGUCUGAAGGCAGAGGGGGAAAAAACGAGUACCUUUGUGUUGAACUUGCACCAUGUUAUACUUCCCUUUCAUAACUUUUUGAAAGAAGUUCCUUUGGUGAUGGAGGCAUAGUUUUCUAAUCUUUACAACCCAAACCUCCCUCCUGCCCCAACCCAGAUGGCAGACAAACUGAUUCCUGCACACGUGGUUCUACUCUGUGUGUGUUUGUGUGUGAUGCACUACCUCUUCUCUCGAGUGAACCAGGCACAUUAAAGAGCACAGCUCCCAUUCUCCAAGAUUCUGUCUUAUCUGAGAUACGUUAUGCUGCUCCUUCCUGGAUUUUGAAGUCUGAAGCUUAAGUUUGCCCGAAGUUGAUGUUUGUGGAACUCUGAAAAUUUCCCUUGUAACUGUAUGUAAUUUCAGAAAAAAGAAAGUUUUUGAAUUAUGAUGGCAUUAUGGUUAGGUCAGAAAUCUGAAUGACCUUUUAGUAAUUCUAGGAGAGAAACAGCUAGAAAAUUGAAUGCUUAUUAGUAAAAGAUGUGACCAAUAUAGUGUGGGUUAGGAAAUAUUACUCAUAACUAGGUUAAAAGUUACUCUGAAAAUUUUUCAUUUUUUCACACUACUAGUAUUUUUGCAUAUUGUAUAAAAUUGCCACUAAUUCCUCCCAUGUCUCUAUGUACACACCCUUAGGCCUAGUACUUUGAGGUGGAGUCUCUUUCUCCACUCCCAUUAAUCUUGGCUCAUUUUGUAACUUGCUUUGGUCAGUAGAUGAGAGCAGAAGUGAUAUCAUAGGAGUUUUUUAGUUUUUUUAAUGUUUAUUUUGAGAGAGAGAGAGAGAGAGAGAGAGAGCGAGAGCGUGUGCGAGAGCUCAUGAGGAAGGAAGGGGCAGAGAGAGAAUCCCAAGCAGGCUCCCUGCUGUCUUUGCAGAGCUCCAUGUGGGAUUGGAUCUCACAACUGUGAGAUCACGACCUGAGCUGAUAUCAAGAGUCAGAUGUUCAAGAGACUGAGCCACCCAGAAGCUUCAUGGAGUUCUAAGCUCGGAUCUCAAAGACCUCUUGGCUUCUGCUCUUACUCUUAAGGAAUCUUGUCAGCAUUGUGUAGACAACAGGCUAGCAUCUUUGAAGGUUUUCAAAGACUAUGGGAGAGAGGCCCAACUUGACCACUAACUGCCAGACAAGUGUUUGAAGCCAUUUUAGACCAUUUGGUUGCAAUUGCACUAUC
rnacentral:lncRNA from 1 species